CUGCAGCAUCAUCAGGAUUCC
rnacentral:misc_RNA from 1 species